rnacentral:tRNA from 1 species
GUUCUCUAUUUAGCUCAGUUGGUUAGAGCGUGGUGCUGAUAACGCCAAGGUUGCAGGCUUGAUUCCCAUAUGGGACA